rnacentral:rRNA from 1 species
CGGGUGAGUAACGCGUAUCCAACCUGCCCACCACUUGGGGAUAACCUUGCGAAAGUAAGACUAAUACCCAAUGAUAUCUCUAGAAGACAUCUGAAAGAGAUUAAAGAUUUAUCGGUGAUGGAUGGGGAUGCGUCUGAUUAGCUUGUUGGCGGGGUAACGGCCCACCAAGGCGACGAUCAGUAGGGGUUCUGAGAGGAAGGUCCCCCACAUUGGAACUGAGACACGGUCCAAACUCCUACGGGAGGCAGCAGUGAGGAAUAUUGGUCAAUGGACGAGAGUCUGAACCAGCCAAGUAGCGUGCAGGAUGACGGCCCUAUGGGUUGUAAACUGCUUUUAUAAGGGAAUAAAGUGGGAGUCGUGACUCUUUUUGCAUGUACCUUAUGAAUAAGGACCGGCUAAUUCCGUGCCAGCAGCCGCGGUAAUACGGAAGGUCCGGGCGUUAUCCGGAUUUAUUGGGUUUAAAGGGAGCGUAGGCCGGAGAUUAAGCGUGUUGUGAAAUGUAGACGCUCAACGUCUGCACUGCAGCGCGAACUGGUUUCCUUGAGUACGCACAAAGUGGGCGGAAUUCGUGGUGUAGCGGUGAAAUGCUUAGAUAUCACGAAGAACUCCGAUUGCGAAGGCAGCUCACUGGAGCGCAACUGACGCUGAAGCUCGAAAGUGCGGGUAUCGAACAGGAUUAGAUACCCUGGUAGUCCGCACGGUAAACGAUGGAUGCCCGCUGUUGGUAUGAAUAGGUCAGCGGCCAAGCGAAAGCAUUAAGCAUCCCACCUGGGGAGUACGCCGGCAACGGUGAAACUCAAAGGAAUUGACGGGGGCCCGCACAAGCGGAGGAACAUGUGGUUUAAUUCGAUGAUACGCGAGGAACCUUACCCGGGCUUGAAUUGCAGAGGAAGGAUUUGGAGACAAUGACGCCCUUCGGGGCCUCUGUGAAGGUGCUGCAUGGUUGUCGUCAGCUCGUGCCGUGAGGUGUCGGCUUAAGUGCCAUAACGAGCGCAACCCCUCUCCUUAGUUGCCAUCAGGUGAAGCUGGGCACUCUGGGGACACUGCCACCGUAAGGUGUGAGGAAGGUGGGGAUGACGUCAAAUCAGCACGGCCCUUACGUCCGGGGCUACACACGUGUUACAAUGGCAGGUACAGAGAGACGGUCCCUUGCAAAAUGGAUCAAAUCCUUAAAGCCUGUCUCAGUUCGGACUGGGGUCUGCAACCCGACCCCACGAAGCUGGAUUCGCUAGUAAUCGCGC